CAACAACAACAACAACAAACCCAGUGUAUUCCCACUUAGUGGGGUCUGGGGGGGUAAGAUGUACGCAGUCCAUACCUCUACCUCUGAUGAAGUAGAAAGGUUGUUUCCGAAAGACCCCCGGCUCAAGUCACGAGAUAUCACACAAACACAUAGUACAGCACAGAAGCAGAUGACAUAACAUAGAUACGGCACCCAUAACGAAUAUAAAACAGAGCAGGAAUAGAAUGCAGGAAUAUACAGCAGAGGAAAACACACAUAUUCGAGUGACCCGAACUGGCCCUAAUCCUCUGCCGUAAUUCGCAUCUUCCAGACCUUCCUAUCUAGGGUCAUGUCCUCGGUGAGCUGUAACUGUUCCAUGUCCC
rnacentral:lncRNA from 1 species